rnacentral:rRNA from 1 species
UGAGGAAUAUUGGUCAAUGGGCGGCAGCCUGAACCAGCCAAGUCGCGUGAGGGAAGACGGUCCUACGGAUUGUAAACCUCUUUUGCCGGGGAGCAAUGCGCGCCUUGCGAGGCGCGAGGGAGAGUACCCGGAGAAAAAGCAUCGGCUAACUCCGUGCCAGCAGCCGCGGUAAUACGGAGGAUGCGAGCGUUAUCCGGAUUUAUUGGGUUUAAAGGGUGCGUAGGCCGGCUGUCAAGUCAGCGGUAAAAUAGCGGGGCUCAACCCCGUCCCGCCGUUGAAACUGGCGGCCUUGAGUGGGCGAGAAGUAUGCGGAAUGCGUGGUGUAGCGGUGAAAUGCAUAGAUAUCACGCAGAACCCCGAUUGCGAAGGCAGCAUACCGGCGCCCGACUGACGCUGAGGCACGAAAGCGUGGGGAUCGAACAGG